rnacentral:tRNA from 1 species
GCUCCUAUAGUUAAAUGGCAUAACGUGUCUAUGGUAAGGAUAAAUUCCAAGUUCGAUUCUUGGUGGGAGCACCA